rnacentral:lncRNA from 1 species
AGUGAAAUACUCUAAAAUUCCAUUGAAUUUCCUGUGAAUCAAAGGGGGACUUAGGCAGGCUAAAUACAAUUCUGGCCUUUCACAAGUGGAUAUACACAUCCAAAGGUUAUAUGAGUGCAUACAAGCCAAAUAACAUAAUUAAGAUUAAAAAAAACAAACAAACCGAAAAAGGGGGAAAUUAGAAGACUAGCUUUUCAUCGUUGCUUCAAACUUCACUUCAGGGAGAUAUGGGGUUCGGGGAUUGGCCCAUACUUCCUCCACCUCGCCCUCUAGCUGCAGUCGCAGACACAACAGAAACUCAUGAAAGGGUUAAAACUGUCCACCUUAAUUUGGUUAAACCAUACUAGAUAAUAAGAGUAAUAGGUGAUGUUCAGUACUAUUCACUACUAAGGGGAAGUUAUAGUUACUAAAUACAUUUUCUUCUGUUGGCUAGUAUGGUUUCGCCAUCAAAAUUGCAAAUGUAUGGAUUGAAGCCUAUUUCAUCGUUCAUAAAAGAGCACCCGUAAUGCAGUAGUCAAAUAAGUUACAAUUUUGAUAAAACACAUAGCCACAUAGAAAAAGUAUCAAGAAAUUGUUUUUUUUUUGUAAAAUUUCUUAACAAGAAUUAGUGUUCAGUAACAUUCUGCUUUUUUCUUAAAGGAAGUAAAAAAAUGGUAAAAUGCCACUAUCCCGUGACUUAAGUGGAAUUUAUGGGUCCCUGAAUCAGAUGUGAGUGACUUUUAUAAUUACAAGUAGCUAAAUACCUGCUAGCAAUGGAUUUUCAAACAAGUACUAAAUUUGAAAAGAUGCUUAUAGCUUUUGAUCAAACAGUAGUCCACAGAUAAACUCUAUUGUAAAGGGUGAAUUUCCACACGCAAAUGAUUUCUCUAUUCUGCUACCUCCGUUCCGAAAUAACAUCAUUUUUCAGUUUUUUAUAUAAUGUUUUGAUAUUUUUAUUCUAACUAGAUGAUAAAACAUGAAUAAUACUUUAUGCGUGGCUAAUUUUUUUAAGUUUUUCUACAAAUUUUUCAAAUAAGAUAAAUGGUUAAACGUUGGACACGGGAAAAUGAAAAACAAAAUUAUAAUGGGAUGGAGGUAGUAAUUAACAUCAGAGUAAAAUAAAUAUUUGUGCAUGUAUGCAUGCAUCCAUAAAAAACUGUGGAACGUGUACCUCUUCGUUCUUACAGAUGAAAGAUAAAAUAUAAAAUAUUUUUUUAUAGUUAUUUAAUGAUAUAAAUGAUAAAAUUAAUCACUUUAAAGUUGGAAACUUACUUUACAAAUAUGCUACGAUGAAUUUUCAUAUAAAAUCUUUUUAAAACAAGUAUCAUUUAGUUGAGGCCUUGUUUAGUUCCCAAAAAUUUUUUUCAAAAACAUCAUAUCAAAUUUUUGGACAUCUAAAUAAAGCAUUAAACAUAGAUAAAAAAAACUAAAUGCACAGUUAUGGAAGAAAUCUUGAGACGAAUCUUUUGAGCCUAAUUAGCCCAUGAUUAGUCAUAAAUGCUACAGUAACCAACAUGUGCUAAUGACGGAUUAAUUAGGCUCAAAAUAUUCGUCUCGCUGUUUCUAGGCUAGCCGUGAAAUUUGUUUUUUUAUCCGUAUCCGAAAACCCCUUCCGAUAUCCGGUCAAACAUUUAACAUGACAUUUGUCACAAAAAUUUUCUCAAUCUAAACACCACCUAAAUACAAUGAGAAAUAUACCGCUGACAUAUGCGUGACGCCUCACAGAUGCCGUGAAAUUGAACGCCGACGAGCUGACAGGCGGCGGGUCGUCAGAACUCCGUCACACGUCAGCUCCCUGCGUUGUUGCGGAGCUCACCGGGCCUGGGACUGGGAGACAGCAGCGCAUCUGGGAAGAGGUCGCGCCCCCUCGUCGAUCGAUGACCACGGCAUCGUUCUCUUCGUCCGUGAGAUUGGAGAUCAGCGAGGUUCGGCUCGAGUCCGUCCAUCCGUCAUCCGUGUAACCCAGAAGUGAUCGUCCUGCGAGUUGCGACGGCCGGCGACGAGGAAGCCUUAGAUCGCGGAGGCCGUCGCGGCGUCGUGGUGAUCUGUUGAAUUUCCUCCUCAUUUUGUUUCGGCAACUCGGUUAAAUCUCUACCUGUCUCUGUUUGUGAAGAGAAGACAUUAAUGGGCUCGAUUGAUGAAGCCCAAUCUAGGUACCUGCCUAUUAACGGGCUCGAUUGAUGAUGCCCAGCGUAAGGCCCAUUAUAGUACAUUCUGGACACAGUAUUUCAGCCAAUUGUAAAUGGGCUAUAAUAUGUCCUAGUCCGAAUUCAGUCAAUUGUAACAAAUGUAGCAGUACUGAUGUCUACGCUACUCGUCUAUCCUCCCUCUCCCGGAAAGGGUAGCCCGCGAACGUUCGUGUGUAGGUGGGCCGGAUGAAUCUGUUGGCCAAAGAAAUAUUUAUGUAUAUAAUAUUUAUAUAUGUAUAAAGUGUAUAUCUAUAAUUUUCAUAUAUGUAAAGUCUAUACAUAAAAUAUUUAUAAUUAUUUAUACAUAGAAAGUUUUGUAUAUUUCAUAUUUAUGUAUACAAAAGUUUGCGUAAAUAUUUGACCAUUGUAUAAAGUUUGUACAUGAUUUCAAUUUUUCAAAUUCAUACAUAAAUUUUAUAUGUGUAAGGUUUAUACGUACAAAAUUAAUGCAUAUACAAAGUAUCAUGUACAAAGAAUAUAUGUGCAAAUUGCUAUGUGUAUUUUUCUAUAUUUCUAUGUAUAAUAUUUUUAUAUAUAAACUUUGUAGGUGUAUUUUUAUCCCUUUUUGCUUCAUCCUGCGGUAACGAAAAAAAAUCUCGCUGAACUCUACAAAUGAAAACAAAUGCACGUAAACUUGUUUUUAUUUUUCCAAUUCACUGUCGCUAGAAGUGAGCAAACGCCCGCGUAUCAGACCAGCCCUCGCUCUCCCCCACGCAUUCCCAUCAUAAGAAAUCUGGGGAAAAAAAUUGCUUUCCUACCCCAAUUAAUAUGAAAAAAGCAUAUGCUUUCCCCACACUCAGUGUAUUGCGUUCAUGGGGAAAACAAAAUAAGUUUAUUUUCUACCCAAUCUAUCUAUUGAGCUAAUUCUCAAUGAACCGAUAAAAUAAUCUAUAUUGAGUUUAUUCUGAAUAAACCGAUAAAAUAAUCAAUACUAUUAAUCUAUAUUGAGCUUAUUCUGAAUGAACCGAUAAAAUAAUCAAUACUAUCGUAACUCAUCAAUAUCAUGCACUAGUCUAAAGGAAAAGGACUCUUAAAGAAAAAAAUAGUGAUAUGUGCUAAUUUCGUUUUAUAAUUUAAUUUUUUAUUGCAAUGUUUAAUCAUUCGUCUUAUUUAAAAAUUUAGUACAAAUAUAAAAGAUGGGCAAGGCGUGCUUAAAGUUCUUUUGAGAAUAAAGUAAGUCACAGGCAAAAUAAAUGGUAAUUCUAUAAUUUUUUAAAUAAAACGAAUGGUUAAACGUUACUAUAAAAAAAUCAAACAUCUAUUAACGGAGCGAGUAUAUGUUUGCUAAAACAUGAGAAUAUACGAUUUACCUAGUUAAAUUGUUCCGUCGCAGAAAAUAUCCACAUACAGUAGCUAUCCUUUCCUAGCUUCAGCCCUGACGAUAGCGCCAAUGUUCUGUACACAUGUGCGAAUAAAAAUCUCAAACGGCGGUACCUCUCCGGCUCUCCCAACUCAACUCGGC